GAGUCGGGUCGCAGAGAGGAGGUCCAGUGUUUACUGUCCAGAAGCAGGACUUUCUGUUUGAAACGGACCGCCUGAGCUGCUCUGCAGUGGCCGGGACUCUCCGGCAUGAAGGGCCUGAGGCACCGUCGCACUUUGUCGGCAAGUUCAGAGUGUGGUUUCUGUGCUUAUCAGUAAAUGUGUGGGACAGCUAACCCGUGAAUGUACUCCGGCUAAAGAUGCUCAUUUAAGGUUGCCACAAUGCAGCACAGCUGAACCAGGACUGGAACCCUACACCAUCAUUUCAUUUUUGCAGUGCUCCAUUUAAAAAGCACCACUAAAUUCAAGGAGCUGCUCUCAGAUUCAGACCUCAGCACCACCCAGUGACAACAGACAAAUCAUCCUAUAUGUCCACCAAUACUGAAUACACUUAAAUUUGUAGGAGCUCUAAAUUUAGCUGAUGAAGAAAGUACAAAGGCUAAGCUACCAUAUAUGUGCUGUCAGUAAAAUUGUAGAUGUUUUACUGAAAAAAGGUGAAGACAGAAAGGCAAAGGGACAAUAAAUCCAAGAAAUUGGUAUCUUUACAUACACUACAUUACCAAAAGUAUUCACUCAACCAUCCAAAUCAUUGAAUUCAGGUGUUCCAAUCACUUCCAUGACCACAGGCGUAUAAAUCCAAGCUCUUAUGCUUGCAGACUGCUUCUACAAAUAUUUGUGAAAGAAUGGGUCGCUCUCAGGAGCUCACUGAUUUCCAGCGUGGUACCGUGAUAGGAUGCCACCAGUCCAAGAAGUCCACUCGUGAA